AGCUCUGUGUGACCAUUUCCUCACGUUCGGUUUUCGAUAGUCCUAGCCUUGUCAACACCGUGAAGAUUCCAGAAACGCGGGUCACCGAGGCACAGGCUCGUGAGUCCUGCGAAGUCACCGUCUGAGCAGGCUGUGCACGGAGCGGCGUCCGGAUGAGGCGUGGAUUCGGGACGACAGCGAGCAUGUCCCGCGGGGCCACUCCCUCCUGAGCCUGUUCUCUCCGGUGGGGGAGCAUGUGGAGACCUAUGACUGAGUCCCCCUGCAGCCCAAGCAAUCAUCCAUUGGCACUGAGGAGUCCCUCCAGGAUAAUGAUGGUGAAGAUGAGAGCCAACACUCAUACAGUGCUUACUAUAUGCCAGUGCUGUUCUGGGGAUAUUACUCAUUCAGGACUCACUCAGAGGAAGUUUGUUCUUGGCGACCUCACUGGUGCCGGCAAGAUGCCUGCCUACAGCAACUGGGACGACGUGCUGUGUGCUGUUGUCCAGCAAGGAGCCCUCUUCUCCACCCACAGGGUGAAAGAAUGUUCCUUCAGUUCACGGGACCAACUGAGGUCUCACAUCCCUCCCUGGACCCAUGACAGUCGCCAGAGGGAUGCCAGGUGCCGAUUGGAUUCCUGAACACAGCACUGAUAUUUAUCAAGAUCCCUCUACGAGCCACACACAGGAGACACAAAGAUAGAGAAGACACAGCCGCUAUGUUCAGGGAAUUGAUAGGGCCACGGGAACACAGGCAAGUGAACAGAAGACAAAAGCCAUUUCUAUAAUGGAGUAUACUACAGAUAUUAAAA